CGGCGAACGGGUGAGUAACGCGUGGGUAAUCUGCCCCCAAGACCGGGAUAACAGUGCGAAAGCGCUGCUAAUACCGGAUAAUCUCUUCUUGUCGCAUGAUAGGGAGAGCAAAGCUCCGGCGCUUGGGGAUGAGCCCGCGUUCCAUUAGCUAGUUGGUGAGGUAACGGCUCACCAAGGCGACGAUGGAUAGCCGGCCUGAGAGGGUGACCGGCCACACUGGGACUGAGACACGGCCCAGACUCCUACGGGAGGCAGCAGUAGGGAAUUUUCGGCAAUGGGGGAAACCCUGACCGAGCAACGCCGCGUGGGGGAAGAAGGCCUUCGGGUCGUAAACCUCUGUCUUUGGGGACGAUAAUGACGGUACCCGAGGAGGAAGCCCCGGCUAACUACGUGCCAGCAGCCGCGGUAAUACGUAGGGGGCGAGCGUUGUCCGGAAUCACUGGGCGUAAA
rnacentral:rRNA from 1 species